GGAUCAGCGGGUCGGUCGUGCCUCUGGUACGUACUGGCCUCACUGGUUCCUCCCUUCUGAAGAACCACGAUGUCAUUAAUUUGGUGUUGUGGGGAAUCAGGACUGUUACUGUGAAAAAAUUAGAGUGUUUAAAGCAGGCUUAAGCUUGAAUACAUUAGCAUGGAAUAAUGAAAUAGGACG
rnacentral:rRNA from 1 species